rnacentral:sRNA from 1 species
AAUAGCGAGUAGCCCUGGAGUGGUGUCAGCCCGCCAGGCUGAGCGCUCUGCGUAUUCAGGCGUUGAAGUUGGGGAGAAGAAGUGGGUGACUGUGGGUGACACGUCCCUGAGGAUAUUUAAGUGGGUUCCUGUGACAGACAGCAAGGAGAAAGAAAAGUCAAAAUCGAACAUUUCAGCAGCCCGAGAACCUAAUGGCUUUCCUUCUGAUGCCUCAGCCAAUUCCUCUCUCCUUCUUGAAUUCCAGGACGAAAACAGCAACCAGAGUUCCGUGUCUGACGUCUAUCAGCUUAAGGUGGACAGCAGCACCAACUCAAGCCCCAGCCCCCAGCAGAGUGAGUCCCUGAGCCCAGCACACACCUCCGACUUCCGCACGGAUGACUCCCAGCCCCCAACGCUGGGCCAGGAGAUCCUGGAGGGUGAGUCGUGGUUGGCCGAGGAUGAGUUUCCUAGAAGGGCCUUGCUUUCUGCUCUUGUUGUGUCUCGUCUUUAGAGUAACAGGCUCAAGAGAGCACCUCAGAGCCAGGCAGCACCAAGCCCUUUCUCGAUAGCUUAGGAAUGAUUAUAGUUUCCCCUUUCACAGAG